rnacentral:rRNA from 1 species
GACGAACGCUGGCGGCGUGCCUAAUACAUGCAAGUAGAACGCACAGUUUAUACCGUAGCUUGCUACACCAUAGACUGUGAGUUGCGAACGGGUGAGUAACGCGUAGGUAACCUGCCUGGUAGCGGGGGAUAACUAUUGGAAACGAUAGCUAAUACCGCAUAAUAUUAAUUAUUGCAUGAUAAUUAAUUGAAAGGUGCAAUUGCACCACUACCAGAUGGACCUGCGUUGUAUUAGCUAGUAGGUGAGGUAACGGCUCACCUAGGCGACGAUACAUAGCCGACCUGAGAGGGUGAUCGGCCACACUGGGACUGAGACACGGCCCAGACUCCUACGGGAGGCAGCAGUAGGGAAUCUUCGGCAAUGGACGAAAGGCUGACCGAGCAACGCCGCGUGAGUGAAGAAGGUUUUCGGAUCGUAAAGCUCUGUUGUAAGAGAAGAACGGGUGUGAGAGUGGAAAGUUCACACUGUGACGGUAUCUUACCAGAAAGGGACGGCUAACUACGUG